rnacentral:lncRNA from 1 species
AUUGUCGUAAAUGGGAUGGAAUCAAUUGCCUCUCAAUGAAUAGAGUAAUGGCUACCUUCCUCUGUGGCCAAGAAGAUGACCCCAACAGCUUUUUAUCAGGCCCAUCUCAUUACCUCUCUCUAAACUUACUUACCUCAAUUGGAUUUAUCUCCAGAAUCUCAAAAAAAUUACAGGUACUUUGCCCACUUUUCUAUUCAAAAUCCC